AUGCCCCACCUGCAGUGGAAACCAAACCCGGAUGCUCCCCAGAUGCUCGGCGAGGAGCAGGAACCACACCUGGGACUGCCCCGGUGCUCCCCUGGCACCGGAGCUUUUGCACAAGUCUCCCCUGGAGAUUUUUCUGCCAUAACUUUGCCCGCUCGCUUGCCAACCCCGUGCAAACCCCCGGACCCCCAGGAGGCUCCCCACGGCCACCCCCUUUCACCCUCCCCGCUUGUUAUUUCCACCUCCCGUCUCCUCUCGCUUUUCUGCUGUUGGCGGCAGGACCAGCCUCCCCUCCUCACCCUCCCGGUGCCUUUCGGGGUGCCAGAACCUUCUAGCAUCUCCCCUCGGCCUCCCCGUGCCCUCUGCAGGACCCGCUGCCCUUCCCCACCCGGAGCAUCCCCUCCGCUCCCCCCCGCACCGAGGGGCACCGGCGCCGGAGCCGCGCCGCAAGCGUGGAGCGGGGCGCCCUCUGCCGCGGGGAACAGGGCACGGAGAGGGCCCAGGAGCUGUGGGGAGCUUGUAGGGGGACAUCCCCCAACGCCUCGGGUGGGUCUCAACCCCCUUGGCCCCCUCUCCCCGCUUUUCUCCUCCGUUUCCAGCCGGGGAUGCUGGAGGAGCCCCCGCCGGCGCCUGCCUCCCCUUGGGGCUCCUCCGUGCCACCCAGCGGGGCCUGGCCCCCCAGGGGAAGGAGGAGCAGCGUGGUUGCGCUCCCCGGUUUUUCCUCAAAGGGUUUAUUUUCUUUUUCUUUUUUUUUUUUUUUCAUGCUCUCAGAGAGAGGUGCUCGGCGGCGGGCGCGGCGUGCCCGGGCUGGUGAGCUUGGCUGCUGCGGAUGCUGCCGAGCGCUUUCGUCUCGUGCGGCCGCCUCGCACCCCGUUCCCGGUGGGGGAAACCGUGUGCCCUCCCAAACCCCACAUCGCUUCAUCCCCUCUGAUCUGGGAGGCUGGCACCAACAGGGCCAGCAGCAGUAGUCUGGGACAUCGCAGCAUCCAGCUGGCUCCUCUGUUCCACUGCCAGCGGGCCCUGCGUGUCCCCUGCGUGUCCCCUGUGUGUCCCCUGCGUGUCCCCUGCCUGUCCCCGGUCCCUUUUUGA
rnacentral:lncRNA from 1 species